CCAAAGGCUCUUUUAAGAGCCACUACGUGCACAAUAGAGAGAGCUGU
rfam:Opisthocomus hoazin contig101313, whole genome shotgun sequence.